GGGCGGGUAGCUCAGCGGUAGAGCAGCGGUUUUACACAUCGCCGGUCGCAGGUUCGAUCCCUGUCCCGCCCA
rnacentral:tRNA from 1 species